rnacentral:rRNA from 1 species
UACGUAGGGUGCAAGCGUUGUCCGGAAUUAUUGGGCGUAAAGAGCUCGUAGGCGGUUUGUUGCGUCGGCUGUGAAAACCCGGGGCUCAACCCCGGGCCUGCAGCCGAUACGGGCAGACUAGAGUUCGGCAGGGGAGACUGGAAUUCCCGGUGUAGCGGUGAAAUGCGCAGAUAUCGGGAGGAACACCAAUGGCGAAGGCAGCUCGCUGGGACGGUACUGACGCUGAGGCGCGAAAGCGUGGGGAGCAAACAGG